rnacentral:lncRNA from 10 species
CUCCGCGCGCCUGCCCACGCGCUCCGGUACUCGCUGCUCGCGGCUGGCCGGCUCGGGAUUCCGGGCUUUCUUCCCGAGACCGCGUCCCCCAGCUGGGCCGAAGGUGGACGCUCAGGGGCUGGAGGCUCAGCGGAAUCCCCUGCGUUCAGUAGCCCCGCUCUCCCCUGUCCCGAAGAUCAGGGAUAGCAGAAAUGAAAGUAUAAUGGAAGCAGCUGGAGGAUUCCAGGUCCACUUUCACCCAAGUAAUGGAGACGGAAGGUUCAUCGAAACUUCUUCAGCUGCAGAUCUAGAAGUCAUUAGCUAUUCUAGCAAAGUAUCUGUCACAGAAAGGUGCUUCAUAAAGGUCUGCACUGUGCUCUUUUGACCUGUGUCUUCAAGCAUGUGCUGUCAUAACAGAUUAAAGAUGACUGAAAAUUAUCUGCCACUCAUUGCGUGAAAGGUGGGAUCUGUAGACCUCCCUCUUGAAUUUGGGAGGGUUCUGUGACUGCUGUGACCAAUGAAUAUGGCAGAAGUGACGCUUUGCCAACUUCUGGGUCCAGGCUAUACGAGACAGGCAGUUCCACUCACUGUCUCUUAGAUCCAUGUAAAAAGUUCAUCUACCCUGCUGGAAAAACCAUGUAGAGAGGCCCUGAGACUACAUUGGGUGGGAGAGGGGCUCAGCUGCACCAUCUUCCAACUGUCCCCAUCAAGAUGACAGAAAUAUAAAUGAAGCCUUCUUGAACUCCAGACCAUCCAUGCUACAAGCUAAAUGCCACCAAGCGACCCCAGUUAAUACCAUGUGGAGCAAAAAUAUCACUUAACCAAGCACUGCCUGAGUUUCUGACCCCACAGAAUUCUGACCCCAUACAAAUAAAAUAAUUUUUGUAAUUUUUUAUAAUUCGUCAUGUAAUAGAUAAAUGGAACAGCCUUCUUCCAGUCUUUUAAAUAGCUGCAAGAAAUCUUAUUCAAGCAGAAGGAAGUUUCUACUUUGUUCAUACAGUCUCAAGACAUCCCUGGAGCCUUUCAAGGGAAAUUUGGGCAGAAGUAGGUAGAGAGGUAAAGCUAUUAUGUAACAUUACUUAACAUGAUUAAAACCACCUUAAUGUCUCCCAUCCUCAAAGGCUGCCAGUGAAUUGGAAAUUAAUGGAUUAAAUGAGGACAGAGAAACUAGUAUUUGUGCAUAUGCACUGUGCCAGGUAUUUAACGUAUCUUAGCUCAUGUGGUCUUCGAAACAACCCCAUAUUGUAGUAUCAGGCUCACACGGGUAACUAACUAGUGCAAAGACACAAGGCUCACAAACUGCUACUUGACCCUAGAGCUCUUUGACUCCGAUUCCCAUGUACGUGCCCCAAUACCAUGUUGACUCCCAAGGUGUAAAUCUUCAGGUAU